UACAAGACACAGGGAAGGUCAGUCAACUCUAAAGCUAACCAUCCAUUAUUCCAAUGUCAUGGCCUAUCACAUAUUUUAUUAUGACAUCCUUGGUUAUUCUCAAACUGAUAUUUCAAACUCGUCAAACAUGCUAUUAGACCAUUUUAAAAGGGGGUUUUCCCCUUGGUCCAACAGGAGUGGUUGCUGUGCCACCAACUACUCUUGCCUCUUUCUCCUGGACAACAUGGACACACAGCAGCAUGAGGAUGUUGGUGACCUUGCCGAACGGUAGGCCCAGAGCGAUGACCUCUGUCUCUGACACCUCGCUGGGCAACUUCCUGAUGUGGAGCACGCGGGAAGGGGGACUCUCCAUCCUGUCCUCCACUCUCAGUUUUUUACUGCUGUCAUUGCCGUUAGCUGUGAAAUCAAGCGUCAUGCAUGAAUAUAUCGCAUCAGCUGUCCUCUCAGCUGUUAAAAUGUGUCAAGGACCAUUGACUGUGGAUAUGUUAGAAUGUGAAUUGCUUUACUUUUCUGUAUGACUGAAUGGGAGGAAAAUGAGCUCACCAGUCACAGAGUUAGGGCUGGUGCUGUAGAGACUCAAAUCAUCUGAGCCUCUCUGUAAAAUAUGAAUGUAUACAUAAAUGAAUUUGGUACAUCGUUUCCCAAUUAAUGAAAUGAUCCUGAAAAGUCAGUUGCGAAAGUGCAAACUUACCUUCAUGCCAACUGCAACAUCACUGACAAUGCUGAAAAAGGCAGGGGAAAUAUGAAUGUCAGUUGUGCACACAAAUCAGUGCAAGCAACGUAUAAUUCAUUAAUGGAAGCAAAAAUGUAUGGUGUCAAUUAACAAUCAAGUUAGGCGUAGCUAGCAAGCUAACGUUAGCUAUCUUAACGUUACCAGUUUGCUAACGUUAACCACAAGGUUAAGAACUACCAGUGUGAGUGUAGUUGUCUUGCAAUUUCAUUUCGUUAAAAUGUGUAGCUAACAAUUCUUCAUCAUACAUUUUGUUUGACGUGAAAGCUCAUUGCAAAUUGUAGCGACGUUAGUACAUUCGGGUAUCAGACCAGGUCAGCCAAUUUCGUUAGCAGUAACGUUAGCUACUAACGAUCGCUGGUUACGGUAACGUUAGUUACUAAUGGUCGCUAGUUACCGUAACGUUAGUUACUAAUGGUCGCUAGUUACCGUAACGUUAGUUACUAAUGGUCGCUAGUUACCGUAACGUUAGUUACUAAUGGUCGCUAGUUACCGUAACGUUAGUUACUAAUGGUCGCUAGUUACCGUAACGUUAGUUACUAAUGGUCGCUAGUUAACGUAACGUUAGUUACUAAUGGUCGCUUGUUACCGUAACGUUAUCUGAUGGCUACACUAAUGUCUACCAAACUCAUCCGAAGAAACGAAGGAAAUGUGUCCGACCAACGCGUAGGGGUACGUGCGCGCUCAACUAACCAAAACGCGACAUUGAAUGCUUAACAGUAGUUAACGAGCUUAACGAAAUUGUAGAAAUAUUGGCGCAGCAUAAUCUCGGUUUAACACAACUCUUAAAUAGAUAUACAGAUUAAUGUAUUGACUGGUGUAUCUUAAUAAACUAGAUAUCUACGUUAGCUAGUUUCGUAGCAAGAUGUACGCUGUGAAAUUAUACGGUUGUACUAGCUAGCUAAUGCAAUGCUAAGAAGAUGGGUGGCAAGCGGGCCACCAUCUCAGAACGAAUUCAAACGUGGCCGGCCCAAUAAGCUACCGUUAGCUUUUAGCGUUAUUAAAUAGAUACGUCGAUAGUUACAUUAAAACCUUUCGCGAAUAUAAUUAACCACAACAAUCAACGCGCACGCUUCAGCAAACGUGAACACAUACCUUUCCAUUGCCGGAGGGUGUCUAAUUUCGCGUUUUUAUUUAUUCGUUAAAUCUCAGCUCUACUCCGACACACAACACCACACGACUGCAAAAUGGUUGCAAUUUCCCAAAUGCUCUCAUGAAGUGCGCCGAGUAACGGAAAAUGACGAACAAAGACGAUUAUCUACAGACAGUUCAUUGAUUAUCAGUUAUAAAGACAUACUUAAUCGAAAUAUGAGCUUAGCCACGUGUUAUUGUUUGCUACUGAAAUUAUUAACUUUAAAAUAUUGUUAUUAAACAAAGCUUUCCCGCAGUUACAUUUAUUGUCAUUUUAAGGUCAAUCAUAGCUUCAGCAAACAACUCAAUGACAAGCACCUGGACCUCACUACCUAUGCUUGACUAAUGCAACUUCAUAUAUUUCAUCAAUUUAUAGCAAAAAUAACAACAACUAUUUGGUUUACAUUGUCUUGCCAUGGGGUCUCUCACCACCCCAGGCAUAGACCACAAUGGUUAUGGCACAUCCUGUGUGUCAUUAUACCGUUAUUGAGUUCCAACUUUCAUUGCAAUGGGGCCCAGUUAAAAAGGGAACAGAGAGCAUGCAACCCCUUUUGUUUCUGAAUCUGCUAUUGAAAGGACUUUAGGGUAUUAUAUUUCACAAACACCAACAAACACACAUACUACUACGCCCCCAUGCAAUCUGUCACUUGUGAGGUUUUAAGGCUGAGAGUUGUAUGACAUAGGCCUGGAUUGAAGAAGUUUCCACUCAACAAGGAAUUUGGCUGGAUUCAUAGGAAUGCAUUGAUUAUCAGUAUUUUUAGUAAUCAAUGUCUUUCUGUUGUAUUGCCAAGAUACUGAAAUUACACCCUGAGAUUGAUCAUACUCAAGGAAAUUAUAUUGAUAUUGGGAUCUAAAAACAUAAAAAAUAUAUUACAUAAAAUAACCAAAUAAAAUGCUUAUGAAACUCGUAAUUUCCAAACCAGGUUUAUUUUCUUUUCAUGACCUGGACCAUUUUAAUAUUUUAUCCAAAAUUCAAUUUCCUCAGUUUUCACACUUUCUUUUACAGCUUUCCCUCAUUUAUUGUCUCUCAUAACCACAAUGUCUUUAUGUUUUAUUGGCUUCCCAGCACACCUCAGAGGGCACUGCUGAAGAUGAAUCCUUUAUCGAGGGAAGAUGAACUGGACUGGAGAAUGUCAAGUGGAUUAAUGUAAUAAACCUUGACUGCAGAGAAUUCCCAGACCUAUUAAUGCUUUACGUCACUGUAUGUUUAAGUGACACACUUAGUGCAGUGUAUGACACAGUUUUUUAUUUUACCGGAAAACGGCCAAUUCAAUCCCCACAAAGGAAAGAAUAUAGAGUGAUUUGUUAUGGCUUUGUAUGUUGAAGUUGGGACUGUUGUGUUUCAUCUAGCCUAUAAUCUUUGAGAUAUUACAUUUUCAGUGAGAACUGGGGAAACUGCACUGGUUUGUCUUUUAGUGAUGUGAGUAUAUGAUUAGAUAGCUUUUACAUGAAUCAAUGUGGAGCUGUUCAUCCAGGCAGUUUCUCUAUCCAAUUAAAGAAACCCCCUGUCCACGGAAGCUGUUUUAAAAUUAACCCUUUACCCAUUAAGUCAUAAUUUACAAACCCCUGGAAUUGAUUACCAAAUUAAAGCAUUGAUUUAGGCUCUCAGUUUGGUCAUUAUUAAUUUCUGAUCUGGGUAUGUUUGAUUCUGUCUCCUGCCUAAAUAAUAACACUGGUUUAUUUCAAUCUGUCUUACUUUUUACUGAACUUAAGUUGUUUUUCAUUAAAACAAUUUAAAAUCCAUUUCCA